rnacentral:rRNA from 1 species
CACUCCUGCGGGAGGCAGCAGUGGGGAAUUUUGGACAAUGGGCGAUAGCCUGAUCCAGCAAUGCCGCGUGUGUGAAGAAGGCCUUCGGGUUGUAAAGCACUUUUGUCCGGAAAGAAAUCCUUGGCUCUAAUACAGUCGGGGGAUGACGGUACCGGAAGAAUAAGCACCGGCUAACUACGUGCCAGCAGCCGCGGUAAUACGUAGGGUGCGAGCGUUAAUCGGAAUUACUGGGCGUAAAGCGUGCGCAGGCGGUUUGCUAAGACCGAUGUGAAAUCCCCGGGCUCAACCUGGGAACUGCAUUGGUGACUGGCAGGCUAGAGUAUGGCAGAGGGGGGUAGAAUUCCACGUGUAGCAGUGAAAUGCGUAGAGAUGUGGAGGAAUACCGAUGGCGAAGGCAGCCCCCUGGGCCAAUACUGACGCUCAUGCACGAAAGCGUGGGGAGCAAACAGGAUUAGAAACCCGUGUAGUCCCAUG